AGGCGUCCCUCAGCCGGAAACAGAAGCGGACCUCCCGCCGAAACAGAGGAAGAGCUCUGAAGAAGCAGGUGUUUUCCUAAGUUUGCAGAACUCUCCCUUUGCUUUAUGUAGCAUUGCUCAGAGACGAUGCUUUCAGAGGCUUCCACCAGAAUGAGGAGAAACAUCUGAGGAGCAGGUGGUCCUCAAACAGAAACAACUGAUUUGGGAUUUUACUGUCAGGAUGCUCUUGGCCUUCUCCCGGAGGAUUGUGGGUAGAUAGCCGACGAUCCCGAGAAGAACCAGCGACGUGAGACCCUUCAAACUUUCUGUGCCACUCCCGAAUUCUGUUUUCCCCCCAAAACAAAGAUUUAUACAUAUUUAUACGAGCCAAUCGACGGGAAGGUGGUCCGGAGGAGGGGAGGAGAAGCGGCGGAACUGCAGAGAAUGGUCCUUCAGCGACUGUCCCGCUCGGGUUGUUUGGAGUCGAACUGUCACCCAUCUCACGCUGCGAUGACCUUGGGCACAGCGACACGGGCGAGUUCUGAAGCUUCGAUUUGACACGUCAAGAUGUUGCGGUAAUGCGAGAUAAUUUUGGGGUUUUUGCCCUCCUCGGAGCAAACUGAAGUAAGGAAAUGUGGCAGAGUCCUUCUCCAGAGAUUACAGGUAAUACAGUCCAUUGCCCCCAUAAACAUGCUUGACACAAGGCCCUCAUGAUGGAGCGAUUGCUCCAGGAGAGACUUUUUCACACUUUAAUUUGCCUUAAAUGAACUGGAGAAGUCAGCGAGGGCUUUGAGAUGCUGUGCCGAGAGAGAGGCCAUGGUAAACUACCUCUGCGCUCGCCUCUCUCCCCAAAAAUGACAUGGAGUUACAUCACGAGUUCGGUGCGAAUCUGCAUGUGACUUGUGCAACCUCGUUUAGAGCCAAAAUACUCAUCUGCAUCUUGGAUUGGUUGAGAGUGGAUCUAAAUUAU